AUUGGAUCCGAAGAUCACUAAAAAUUGGGUGGAUGAAAUGGUUAGAUGCAAAAUACCAAAGGGGAAACGAGAUGUGGUUCGAUCCCGAUCGGUACCAAAUGAGUUCGUAAUGUAAUUUCCGGUUUCAAAAACCCAAAACUCGUUAAUCUGAGGAUUCACAGUCUCCCUGUUCAACCAUUUCAAGUUACUCAGUGGAAGAAGUUAGAGUGUGCUUGGUAGUGUCGUGAUUUCGUUGAGGGUUAGCGCAAUUAGGAGAUCAGUGAAUGUGUGGAGACUUUGCGGGCAAGUGCGAGGAAACAGAGAGCCGUGCGACGGCUUUUAAUUCCAGAUUUUGCGCCUGGCGAAGCUACCACCGCACCGCCAGCAAAGAUCAUCCCACCUCCUGCCACCACACUCUGGAUUCAAGUUUCCAAUCGAGGAAUUGCGUCAGUUGCAGCAAAAACUCGGACAAAAAAGCGCCGCCACGUGCGUAAUGCGGCAUUACUAAACGCCGUCAACCGGAUCCCUAACAUCCGUAUUUUGAUGCUGGUACGCUGUCCGGAGGUCGGACACUACCAGCAGUUAACUUAAACCUGUGCUAGGACCUCAACAACAGCCUUGGCGCUAGAAAGCGCAAAACAGCCGUUCCGUCGCUGAAUCGUAAUCGUCGAAUUUGGUACAAGCAGCGGGUCACCAGCAGUCGUCGCCGUUGAUGGUGUGAGUACGCAUCGAAAGCAGUGGGAGAUGGUCAGCGAAUAAGUAGAGUGAGUAAACGCCUAAAUUCCCUGCGCAGGGUGACAAAAGCUCGAGAAUAUUAUAGCGUGUUUACACAGUUUCCCACCCGCACUUGUUAGGGCCCUGAACCGGCAUUAGAAAUGUAGAAUAAGUAAAUUAAGAGUAGGAUGUUAGUUUGUAAAA